rnacentral:lncRNA from 1 species
AGGCCGCAGUGGGCGCAUCAGCACCGAUCGGGAGGCAGCACGAUCCGACGUGGAGUUGGCAGGCGGCGGCGGGACCAUGGCAGCAACCGAUUCCAUCGUAGCCAGGUAACGACCAAGCCGAGCGCGCGGGAGGUGGCGACGUGCUGCGCAUCUGACAGCGAGAGGAGAUGGGAGACGGGCUCCUCUGACAGCCAACGGAACGGCGGCCCCAGCGACGGCUGGAUCCAUCAACCACGCGACGGUGGACAACGGCCCCGGCGACGGUGGGAUCUUUCCCCUAUCCAGAGUGGCCGGAGGCGAAAGCGGAGGAUUGAUACGUCAGAUCUGACACGAGCAUCACCGCUGGAAACGAAUCCACAUCGGGCGGCGGCCUCUACACCUCAAAAUCGCCGGAUCCAGUAUGUCUUUGGUCGUUCCCGUCUCCGGUCGAGAUUGGCGGCGGCUGCUGGUCGUUGGCGGGCACACCCAUCUCUGCAUGUGUUGGUUGGUUGGGCGAGGAGGAUGGUGAUGUCGUCCCCCUCCAUCCCUCCCCUAUAA